UUUCUUCCAAUGAUAGAAACGGACUUGAUACCAAGGUUGAAAAGUCUAGAAAGCAGAUGAAAGAAAGGAAAAACAGCGCUAAGAAAGUCAGAGGUGUUAAGAAGACCAAGGCUGGAGAGGCUGCCAAGAAGAAGUGAGAUCCCCAUAGAUAUGAACCAAGUUUCAUGCAGCAAUAUAAGCAAGGCCUACUUAUUUACAUCCAUUUAUAUUGUUUGCCAUUGAACUUCAAAUGUGUAAUGCUGAGUUCAUUCUUCUUUUGAAUAUCCAUUUGGAUUUUUAUAUUAUGGACCUACUUUACCUGUUCCUAUGAAGAUUUUAACUUGAAAUGAAUUUUUGGGGUUGGAAAUUGAUAUCUGAGUCAGUACCAUGUUAUGUCACCUAAGAAA